UACGGAGGGGGCUAGCGUUGUUCGGAAUUACUGGGCGUAAAGCGCGCGUAGGCGGCUUUGUAAGUUAGAGGUGAAAGCCCAGGGCUCAAUCCUGGAAUUGCCUUUAAGACUGCAUCGCUUGAACAUCGGAGAGGUAAGUGGAAUUCCGAAUGUAGAGGUGAAAUUCGUAGAUAUUCGGAAGAACACCAGUGGCGAAGGCGACUUACUGGACGAUUGUUGACGCUGAGGUGCGAAAGCGUGGGGAGCAAACAGG
rnacentral:rRNA from 1 species